rnacentral:tRNA from 1 species
CCAGGUAGCUCAGUUGGUAGAGCAGGGGACUGAAAAUCCCCGUGUCGGCGGUUCGAUUCCGUCCCUGGCC